UCAUCCUUUCCCCCCAAAUGCCAUUUAACUCCCCCCCAAUCUCCAUUAUCUCAAAACAUUCCACCCUCUCCAUCCAUUCCCUGAAGACGUCAAGUCGAGAUCCCCUUCUCUCCGCUCUCUUUCAUCUCCACCUAUGAUGACAAGUCCGCUCUCCAAGUCGCCACAAAUGUUCUCCUCACCGGUGCCAUUUCCGUCUUCCUCUUCUUCUCCUCCCGUCUCUGAGCAAAAUGCAUAAGAACUGAAGUGAAGUUUAAAGAAGGAAAACCUAACAAAAUGAGAUUAGACGGUUCAUCAAUAUCCCAUCAUGGAUCGCUGGUUGCUGGUGGAUUCUCUUAUUCAUCACUCAAGGUGUAUGGCAGUUGUAAGUUGUUUUGAACCGGUUCGGGGCUGCUAUGAUAUGAAGGUUGCACGCUUUUGAUUUGGGUUGUUUUGGUGGAUGAAUCGACCCGUCAUCGAUGGUAAAUAAGUUAAGGGGCUGCUGCGUUUGGUUCCUGUUUACUGCAAGAUAAAGGGUUUAAACUACUUGUUUUGGUGGAAAAUUGGACCUACAAUCUUCGGUAAGAAGUUCUGGUUUGUUAAGUUUCAUGUUAAUUUAAGUUUUAAAGGUUCUAAUGAUGUUUUUGGGGGCUGUAUGUCAUGUUUGGUUUUAAUGAGUUUAUUAACUCAUUAAAAUAAACAUUAAUUAUAUUUAAUAUAUUGGUAUAUUCCUAUAUUAAUUCUUAUUUGUUUACUGUUUUAGCUUUAAAGUUUGAUUAUAUCCCCAAAUUACUUUUGGUAACAUGGAGUUCACUUCUUUACAAUUGAACAUGUAUAGCUUCUGUGGAGUACAACUCUGGCUGUCAAGAAACUUUCAUUAUAAAAACACCACAUUCAUAGAUCAUCACGACUAUCAUACACAAUACAAUACAGAAUCGUGGAACUUCAUGUAAAUUGGUUUGAUGAGCUAUGGUUGGAAGCAAAAGUAUUAUAUAUUUUUUUUAUAGAUUAUGAAAAAUAUGAGAUACUUGCUAAUUAAUUAUUUUGUUUAACUUAUUGUUUUGUACACUCUAGUUACAAUGGAAUAUUACCGAUGAAUUGAAUUUAUUUACUUUGUCACAUUUUUUAGGCAUUUCUUGUAUGUAACAAUCUUGUAUUCCGAAUUGUUAAACAUGCUUUUGGAGGGUCAGCUUGAUGUCACAAUAUUACAUUGGUUUGCCAUGUAAGUUGCUAUUAUUGUUAUUAUAUGGUACCAUAACAUGUUUAGAUAGAAUUGAAUUUACUAACUUUGUCACAAUUUUUAGGCAUUUCUUUGAGUCGCUCAAUUCUAGGUGUGCUUUUUUCAAUCCACAAAAAAAUCACUGGAUCACGGUGUAAAACACUUCUUGAAGACGUUAAAAAAACGUAAAAGAAAUAUGUGAGCUUCAUUCUAAAAAAGUGUUCUAUCUUGCAUCCUACUUAGCCGGGUAAUAUAAAGUCCACACCAUAGAUACACACAUGCAUACAAUACAUACUUAAUAUGUUCUAUAAUUUUUAUUUUUGUAGUAAACAUUGGUCGCUUAUAAUUGUUUGCCCAGAUUUCAAAUUCGGCAAUAUUGUUGAUUCUAUAAACGAAGGGAAGACCCAGAAAAAUUACAAGCUCGUCAAGAUCACUGAAGAAGUUGUUGAGAUUAAUUUUAAGUGGCACAUGGCACAGUGCAAACAACAGAAAGGCAGUUGUGAAUGUGGGUAUAUGGUAAUCAAACAUAUGAAAGAGUUUAUCGACUCUAUACAACAUGAUUUGGUUAACCGACUUUGGAAUGAAGAAGGGUAUUUUGAAGAAUCUCAAAUUGAGAAUUUAGUGGUAGAUUUAAUGUCGGGAUUUAUUAAAAAGAUGUUUUGAUCUUGUAAGCAUUAGUUUGUGUUUCAUACUUUUGUAAUUCCGUAUACUUGAACCUGUUGUUGGGUUGUUUAAUACUAGUUAACUUUUGUCGUGA